UAACGUUCUCAGGGCGGGGUGAAAUUCCCCACCGGCGGUAUUGGGCGAAAGCCCGGAGCCCGCGAGCGCCUUUCGCCGCAAGACGGAAGGGUCAGCAGAUCCGGUGAGAUGCCGGAGCCGACGGUAUAGUCCGGAUGGAAGAGAGCAAUG
rnacentral:ncRNA from 1 species